GAGUAAAGUGUGUGUGUGUGUAUUGUAUGCGACACCAAGAAGGAAGAAGGAGAGUUGAUUUUUAUCUCUAAAAACAAUUAUGGAAAUCUUGAUGAAAAAGACAUUAGUAGCAAUGCCCACUUGAUUGUUAAAUCUCCAGGAACACAAGUGAUUAAGAUUGAAGAUAAGAAAGGGGCACCGCUAUCAUCGUCUUUAAUUGACAAAGCUUGAAAGAAUAAGAACCAUGUCAAGAUGGACCAACUCAUGGGAAGCAAACGGGUCAAAGAGGAGGCAAAGAAACUAGCAUAAACAUGGCGAGCACAAGGUUUAUGAAUGUCGGACUUUCGAAGUGUUGAUAUAGUAAUGAAAUGAUUGAAUGUUGGAAGGAUAAUCGGGUUGAAGUAACUUAAGCGGUAAAUCCUCAAUUUAGGCGACUUGGAGAAUCGGAGCGAGCGCGUGUUCAUGUUAUGUCAUACCAAACACUUCCGCUAGCUUGUUCAAAUGUUUUUGGUCCAAAAUUUGUUGUAUUGGUUCUUAGUAGUAUCUUGUUGAACGAAGUGUAGAAUUGUAUCUAGUUUGAUUAUGUUUAAAACAGGGGUAUGCUCGUUAUACGGACGGGUCAUGCCCAAAUUUUGUUAAAAUUAAUGCAUAUAUGUUACUGA